CCCUUAGAUGUUCUGGGCCGCACGCGCGCUACACUGAUGCAUUCAACGAGUUUCUUCCUGGUCCGAGAGGAAUGGGUAACCUUUUGAAAGUGCAUCGUGAUGGGGAUAGACUAUUGCAAUUAUUGGUCUUCAACGAGGAAUUCCAAGUAGACGUAGUUCAUCAGACUGCAUCGAUUACGUCCCUGCCCUUUGUACACACCGCCCGUCGCUCCUACCGAUUGAAUGCUCAGGUGAGCCAUUCGGACUUUCAUCAUGCUGGUUUCCAGUUUUGAUGAAGGAAAGUCUUGCGAACCUUAUCAUUUAGAGGAGGGAGAAGUCGUAACA
rnacentral:rRNA from 1 species